GGCCGCCUGGCGAAAUGGCAUCGCGUCUGACUAUGAGACAUGGUUUCGCGCGGCUUAUAAUCAGGAGAUUGCAGGUUCGACCCCUGCGGUGGUCA